GUGGCGAACGGGUGAGUAACACGUGAGCAAUCUGCCCUUGACUCUGGGAUAACUGCGGGAAACUGUAGCUAAUACCGGAUACUUUCCUCGCUGGGCAUCCAGCGGGGAAGAAAGAAUUUCGGUCAAGGAUGAGCUCGCGGCCUAUCAGCUAGUUGGUGAGGUAAUGGCUCACCAAGGCGACGACGGGUAGCCGGCCUGAGAGGGUGACCGGCCACACUGGAACUGAGACACGGUCCAGACUCCUACGGGAGGCAGCAGUGGGGAAUAUUGCACAAUGGGCGAAAGCCUGAUGCAGCAACGCCGCGUGAGGGAUGAAGGCCUUCGGGUUGUAAACCUCUUUUAGCAGGGAAGAAGCGAAAGUGACGGUACCUGCAGAAAAAGCGCCGGCUAACUACGUGCCAGCAGCCGCGGUAAUACGUAGGGUGCAAGCGUUGUCCGGAAUUAUUGGGCGUAAAGAGCUCGUAGGCGGUUUGUCACGUCUGCUGUGAAAAUCCGAGGCUCAACCUCGGACUUGCAGUGGGUACGGGCAGGCUAGAGUGCGGUAGGGGAGAAGGGAAUUCCUGGUGUAGCGGUGGAAUGCGCAGAUAUCAGGAGGAACACCAAUGGCGAAGGCACUUCUCUGGGCCGUAACUGACGCUGAGGAGCGAAAGCGUGGGGAGCGAACAGGAUUAGAUACCCUGGUAGUCCAC
rnacentral:rRNA from 1 species